CCUACGGGAGACAGCAGUGAGGAAUAUUGGUCAAUGGCCGGAAGGCUGAACCAGCCAUGCCGCGUGAAGGUCAGUGCCCUAUGGGCGUUAAACUUCUUUUGUGCGGGAGCAAUAAUGGUCACGUGUGGCCAGACGAGAGUACCGUACGAAUAAGCAUCGGCUAACUCUGGGCCAGCAGCAGCGGUAAUACGGGGGAUGCAAGCGUUAUCCGGAUUUAUUGGGUUUAAAGGGUUCGUAAGCUGGGAGGUAAGUCAGCGGUGAAAUGCCCCCGCUCAACGGGGUGAAGUGCCAUUGAUACUGCCUUGCUGGAAUGCGGAUGCCGUGGGAGGAAUGUGUGGUGUAGCGGUGAAAUGCAUAGAUAUCACACAGAACACCGAUUGCGAAGGCAUCUCACGAAUCCGCGAUUGUCGCUGAUGCACGAAAGCGUGGGUAUCAAACAGGAUUAGAUACCCUGGUAGUC
rnacentral:rRNA from 1 species